rnacentral:piRNA from 1 species
UACUGCUUUUGUCAGGUGGAGUGGGA